rnacentral:tRNA from 1 species
GAAUUUACAGUCCGUCCCCAUUAACCGCUCGGGCAUCGACCCAGGAAGAAUUCAUUCUAGGCUUAUUGAUAAUCCAUGAUCAAC